rnacentral:rRNA from 1 species
AACGAACGCUGGCGGCAGGCUUAACACAUGCAAGUCGAGCGGAGCGAGGGUGCUUGCACCUUAGCUUAGCGGCGGACGGGUGAGUAAUGCUUAGGAAUCUGCCUAUUGGUGGGGACAACAUUCCGAAAGGAAUGCUAAUACCGCAUACGCCCUACGGGGGAAAGCAGGGGAUCUUCGGACCUUGCGCUAAUAGAUGAGCCUAAGUCGGAUUAGCUAGUUGGUGGGGUAAAGGCCAACCAAGGCGACGAUCUGUAGCGGGUCUGAGAGGAUGAUCCGCCACACUGGGACUGAGACACGGCCCAGACUCCUACGGGAGGCAGCAGUGGGGAAUAUUGGACAAUGGGCGGAAGCCUGAUCCAGCCAUGCCGCGUGUGUGAAGAAGGCCUUUUGGUUGUAAAGCACUUUAAGCGAGGAGGAGGCUACUUAGAUUAAUACUCUGGGAUAGUGGACGUUACUCGCAGAAUAAGCACCGGCUAACUCUGUGCCAGCAGCCGCCGUAAAAC